rnacentral:rRNA from 1 species
GACGAACGCUGGCGGCGUGCUUAACACAUGCAAGUCGAACGGAAAGGCCCUGCUCUUGUGGGGCGCUCGAGUGGCGAACGGGUGAGUAACACGUGAGUAACCUGCCCUUGACUUUGGGAUAACUCCAGGAAACUGGGGCUAAUAUCGGAUAGGAGCUCCUGCUGCAUGGUGGGGGUUGGAAAGUUUCGGCGGUUUGGGAUGGACUCGCGGCUUAUCAGCUUGUUGGUGGGGUAGUGGCUUACCAAGGCUUUGACGGGUAGCCGGCCUGAGAGGGUGACCGGCCACAUUGGGACUGAGAUACGGCCCAGACUCCUACGGGAGGCAGCAGUGGGGAAUAUUGCACAAUGGGCGGAAGCCUGAUGCAGCAACGCCGCGUGCGGGAUGACGGCCUUCGGGUUGUAAACCGCUUUCGCCUGUGACGAAGCGUGAGUGACGGUAAUGGGUAAAGAAGCACCGGCUAACUACGUG